GGGAUAGAAUCAAUCAGACACUCAGACAAAGUGUUGCUCAGCCAGGUGGGAAAAGUUCCUAUAAUGUUCCUGAUAAGCCAUCUAUAUCAGCAAUGACAUCUAUCUCUGUUAUCAAAUAUCAGGAGCUCACAACUGUUUUACACAAACUACGUUCAUCCAUAUGUCAUCUUGGCCCUGUUCCUACUUCAGACCUUAAGAUGGUUUUUGAUUGUGUUCACAAUUAUGUUUUAACUAUUUUAAACUGCCUUGCUAAAGCCGCUGCUAAAAAAGAGUAGCAUGGAUCCUUCAGUACUAAAUAUUUUUAGGCCAAUUUCAAAUUUACCUUUUUUGAGUAAAGUCUUAGAAAUUUUUUUUUCAAACAAUUAAACCUGUUUCUAAUAUCAAACAAGUUACAUGGGAAGUUUCUGUCAGGUUUUCAUUCUUACCAUGGUACUGAGACAGCAUUGGUUCACUUUAUGAAUGACCUCAGGCUCAGUGCUGAUGUACAAAAUCCUUCUGGUUUUAUUAGAUCAGUUUUUGAUAGCUUGACCACAAAAUUUUAAUCCAGUGUAAAUUAUGGGUCAGCCUCUCUGGCACAGUUUUAGAAUGGUUUAAAUUAUAUUUAGUUAAUGGGCAGUUUAUGGUUCCAAUCAUCAAAAAGAUCUGGUAUUUCUUCUGGAGUCCCUCAAGGUUCAGCUUUAGGGUCUUUGCUUUAGACUCUGAGCUCUGUUUUAUCUGCAUGUAAACAGUCAUUAAAGUAAAGUAGCUUUUUAUCAUUUGAGAAAAUCACUAAAGUUCUGCCUUUUCUUUCUCAGAGCAACGCAGAGAAACCUGUUCAUGCAUUUAUCACUGCAGAGUUGAUCACUGUAAUAAUCUUUUUUACUGAACUUCAUAAGAAAACAAUACAUCCCUUACAACUCGGACAAGAGGACGUGGAGCUCAGAGAGACGCUACCCAACCAGGAUGGAACCUUCCAGAAGAGGAGCGUUCUGACCGUCUCACCUGAGGAGCUGAAGAGGAAGCACUACAGCUGUGUUGUUCAGCACAGUGGAUUGAAGAAGGACAUGGUGCUGCAGGUGUCUGACCGCAGAGUCCUGUCAGAUGUUUCAGAUGGAGGGUCAGUUGGUGUCACUGUCGAUGCACUUGUGGCUGUUCUCCUCUUUGUCCUCGUCCUCAUUGGCUGUGUUGGAGUUUUUAUCUGGAAGAAGAAGCAGUCUGGACAGAGGCAGAGAGAAACACUGAAAGAAUUCAGGACAUGAGACACAUGAAGAGACAAGUAAAACAGCACUUCAUCGCACAGAUAUUUUCCCCUUUGUCUGACAUCAUUCUUCAUCAAACCUCCAACAUUUCACUGGUUUUAGUGAUAACACUGCUGUGCUUGACUGGGGCUUUUGAUUUUGAAACUGUUUGUAUGUCAGGAAAACAGGGAAACAGCUUUCUUCUGCUUUUGGGUUACAAAGUUAGUAAUGUUGUCAUAGUAAACCACUUAAUUCUUACUCCGUGAGCUCAAUUCCAUGAAGCUUAUAGCUUAAAUGUAAGAGAUCCAUUUAAUGGAAUAUUA